rnacentral:tRNA from 1 species
CAAAAAUUGAAUAAAAAAUGAAAAAUAGAAAAAGCCGGCUAUCGGAAUCGAACCGAUGACCAUCGCAUUACAA